UGUCGAUGAAGAGCGCAGCCAACUGUGUGAAUUAAUGUGACCUGCGUACUGCUUCGAACAUCGACAUCUUGAACGCAUAUUGCGGCCAUGGGCUAGCCUGUGGCCACGUCUGUCCGAGGGUUG
rnacentral:rRNA from 1 species